CUCUGAUCAUGCUGUCAGACAGAGUGUAACCCAUAGCUUUGCUGCCCUUGUUCCUCUUCUGCCAUUAGCUAGAGGACUCCCUCCGGUUGAACUGAGUGAAAACUUAUCUAGGAACUCAGACGAUGCUCGGUUUUUAGAACAGCUUCUUGACAACUCUAACAUUGAGGACUACAAGCUCCCGAUUGAUCUCAAAGUAUCAUUAAGAAGGUACCAGCAGGAAGGAG
rnacentral:misc_RNA from 1 species